CACGUAGGGGGCGAGCGUUGUCCGGAUUUAUUGGGCGUAAAGAGCUCGUAGGCGGUUCGGCAAGUCGGGUGUGAAAUUUCGAGGCUCAACCUCGAAACGCCACUCGAUACUGCUGUGACUCGAGUCCGGUAGGGGAGUGUGGAAUUCCCGGUGUAGCGGUGAAAUGCGCAGAUAUCGGGAAGAACACCCGUGGCUAAGGCGGCUCUCUAGUACGGUACUGACGCUGAGACGCGAAAGCGUGGGGAGCGAACAGG
rnacentral:rRNA from 1 species